GCACAACACAGCAGUAAAUGUUGGCCUAUUGUUACGGAUUAAUUUACCGAAACGAUCGGAUUGUGUGACAGUUACAGCCAUAGUGGAGAGAAGCGUUUGACUUACGUCCACUGUGCAGUAUAGCGCAUCCGGUCUUGGGGGUUCGAUUGCUGCCGCACCCUCUCAGUGAUCAAUCGCCUGAUUUUAAGUGAAGAGUUG